GAUCAUGGCUCAGGACGAACGCUGGCGGCGUGCUUAACACAUGCAAGUCGAACGGAGCACCCUUGACUGAGGUUUCGGCCAAAUGAUAGGAAUGCUUAGUGGCGGACUGGUGAGUAACGCGUGAGGAACCUGCCUUUCAGAGGGGGACAACAGUUGGAAACGACUGCUAAUACCGCAUGACACAUAGGGAUCGCAUGGUCUUUAUGUCAAAGAUUUAUCGCUGAAAGAUGG
rnacentral:rRNA from 1 species